ACGAAGGGGGCUAGCGUUGCUCGGAAUUACUGGGCGUAAAGGGAGCGUAGGCGGAUAGUUUAGUCAGAGGUGAAAGCCCAGGGCUCAACCUUGGAAUUGCCUUUGAUACUGGCUAUCUUGAGUAUGGAAGAGGUAUGUGGAACUCCGAGUGUAGAGGUGAAAUUCGUAGAUAUUCGGAAGAACACCAGUGGCGAAGGCGACAUACUGGUCCAUUACUGACGCUGAGGCUCGAAAGCGUGGGGAGCAAACAGGA
rnacentral:rRNA from 1 species